rnacentral:misc_RNA from 1 species
CUAGCUCUCUCUUUCCACCUCCCUCUGGAAGAAUAUAUAUUAGCCAGUAGAACAAAUGGCACGGGAUUAUCAGGUGAAGUCAAGAGCCACUGAUCAGCUGCAUAUUUCCCUAUCUCAGCAUCACCGUGAAUACUACAGGCACCAAGUAAUGCUUGCCAAAUAAAUAUGUCUGGCUUUACUGGUAGCUCCUCAAUGAAACUCUUGGCUUCACAUAGCAGUCCAGCUCGACCAAG